UGCUGAGCAACCUCCCCUUGAUUUUUUUUGUUGUUCCUUCUUUGAUACAGAACCCUUUAUUGCAAGCUAUUUGUCAUGAAGCAGUUCUGCACUGGUCUGACCCCUGCAAAAGAAACUCAGUAAACCAAGAGAUGAGGUUUACAGAGAGGUCUGACAUCUACUUUAUCUUUCUCUCCUUGGAAAUGAGCAUCUCUGUAGCACAGACUGGAAAAAGAUUUCAGGACUACUGUAAUGCAAAGACUGAUGAGAUAUUUUGAUCAUCCAGGGCAUUUCAAGAAACAGACAUUUUCAACUGUCUACAAAUGGCUGCUGUUAUAGAUGUCAUUUUCCUCUGGGAUAGAGAUAGAUAUGCACUCUGAGAGGAUCAAGAACAAGUACCAAAUUUCUCCCCUGCUGCUGAAGAGGAUUCUGAAUGGUGAUUUCCAAGUGAGCAAGUAUACUGGUCACCUUGUUGUGUGUCAGUCUAUUUGGUUAUGUCUUGCUGUGUUUCUAUAUAAUAUAUGCUCAUUAAUAUAUUUUAUUUGUGUCUCAGCCGACAUUUUUCAUUAUUAUUUUUAUCCUGUAAACAACUUUUGUUUCAAAAGUCUGCAUGCAGUUUCUUCUCAUAGUUUACCAACUUUUUCCUUGUUUUCAGAAUACCUUUCUCAAGUGCUUAGCUAUCUUCCCCAGGUAUUAGGCACACACUGAAUUGUCUUUAUUAAUGCCCUACAUCAAGCAUAUGUACGAAUCAUACCUCUCAGGCACUAUGUAGAACAUUUUAUUGUUUGAAUAGUCUCAUGGUACAUUGUGUUUCACAUGGGUGAUGUGAGAACACACAUAUCUUGGUGUGAUACAACAAGCCUGAACCUUGUUUCAGUUAUCUCAACACUCCAUAACUCAGCUGCAAGCAGUUAAUUUUAUGCAACUACUCAGCCCUUCUCUACAGUGUAUCUGACAUUAACUUUCUUACACAAUAAGAUCUGACCUGAGGAGUUUGGACUUUCUUGUUUUAACAUUUGUGUUAAAAACUAAGACACAACUUUGAGACUGGAAUUUUACCCUCACUGUACCAUUUGACUUAUGGAAGAAAAAGAAGGAAAAAUACUGUACUUCCAAUUAUAGCACUUAGCUGUUCAUUUUUGCAAUCAAAUGGAGAUUAGUGAUGUGGGUAAUAUUAAACAUCUGGCUGUCAUUUCUUAUCUCUAUGCAUUGUGAAAUAAAUUAGUGAAUGCUUUAGGAUAUUUCUGCUAG
rnacentral:lncRNA from 1 species